rnacentral:lncRNA from 1 species
CAGUGGCGGCGUCGGCUCGGAGCCCGGGCUGGGCGAUGAAGCUCCCGUAUGCCCGAAGCUACCCGGCACGGCCGGCGAGCUGAUCCGCGACCACCGAAGCUCGGGGCUCGCCACCCGCGGCAGGCACGCAGCCCUCGGCGGCCCGGCGCCCGCUCUGCCGGCGCGUCCACGCCGUACACCCGGCAAGGAGUUUGCGCGGCUCGCGCCUGGGCUCUCGGAGCGGGUUGCGGGCGGCAGAGCGGACCCUCUACUGCCGGAGCACCUCGGGGGCAGCAGGAGGAGGACGGCGAGGAGGGCUGGGCGGAGAAGCUACUACUGGUCCUCGCGGCUGCCCCUACCUAUCCCCUCCCUCCCGCUCGGAGGCGGAAAGGGGAGGACGAGGAAGAAGAAGAAAAAGAAA